AGCGAACGCUGGCGGCAGGCCUAACACAUGCAAGUCGAGCGCCCCGCAAGGGGAGCGGCAGACGGGAGAGUAACACGUGGGAACGUACCCUUCAGUUCGGAACAACCCAGGGAAACUUGGGCUAAUACCGGAUACGUCCGUAAGGAGAAAGAUUUAUCGCUGAAGGAUCGGCCCGCGUCCGAUUAGCUAGUUGGUGAGGUAACGGCUCACCAAGGCGACGAUCUGUAGCUGGUCGGAGAGGAUGAUCAGCCUCACUGGGACUGAGACACGGCCCAGACUCCUACGGGAGGCAGCAGUGGGGAAUAUUGGACAAUGGGCGCAAGCUUGAUCCAGCCAUGCCGCGUGGAUGAUGAAGGCCCUAGGGUUGUAAAGUCCUUUCGGCGGGGAAGAUAAUGACGGUACCCGCAGAAGAAGCCCCGGCUAACUUCGUGCCAGCCGCCGCAGUAAGAC
rnacentral:rRNA from 1 species